CUGGCGGCAGGCCUAACACAUGCAAGUCGAGCGCACUCUUCGGAGUGAGCGGCGGACGGGUUAGUAACGCGUGGGAACAUACCCUUUUCUACGGAAUAGCCUCGGGAAACUGAGAGUAAUACCGUAUACGCCCUUUUGGGGAAAGAUUUAUCGGUGAAGGAUUGGCCCGCGUUUGAUUAGAUAGUUGGUGGGGUAAUGGCCUACCAAGUCUACGAUCAAUAGCUGGUUUGAGAGGAUGAUCAGCAACACUGGGACUGAGACACGGCCCAGACUCCUACGGGAGGCAGCAGUGGGGAAUCUUAGACAAUGGGCGCAAGCCUGAUCUAGCCAUGCCGCGUGAGUGACGAAGGCCUUAGGGUCGUAAAGCUCUUUCGCCAGGGAUGAUAAUGACAGUACCUGGUAAAGAAACCCCGGCUAACUCCGUGCCAGCAGCCGCGGUAAUACGGAGGGGGUUAGCGUUGUUCGGAAUUACUGGGCGUAAAGCGUACGUAGGCGGAUUGGAAAGUAUGGGGUGAAAUCCCAGGGCUCAACCCUGGAACUGCCCUGUAAACUAUCAGUCUAGAGUUCGAGAGAGGUGAGUGGAAUUCCAAGUGUAGAGGUGAAAUUCGUAGAUAUUUGGAGGAACACCAGUGGCGAAAGCGGCUCACUGGCUCGAUACUGACGCUGAGGUACGAAAGUGUGGGGAGCAAACAGGAUUAGAUACCCUGGUAGUCCACACCGUAAACGAUGAAUGCCAGACGUCAGGGGGCUUGCCCUUCGGUGUCACACCUAACGGAUUAAGCAUUCCGCCUGGGGAGUACGGUCGCAAGAUUAAAACUCAA
rnacentral:rRNA from 1 species